GGAGGUUUGGGAGGUCUUCUCUGCUCUUGAGCAGCAUUGAGGGAGCAUGUCAGCCUGCACCAGUUGUCCUCAGGGAUGCUGAAUUAACCCUGCGUCUGAUCACGAAGAGCAAGUGGCUGAAAGAGCCAUGGGGAUCUCGAGGGCAAGCGGCGUGAAGGUGUCGGUGAAGACAAAGAACAGCGUCAGCCGGAAACGCAAGAGUGAGUCGGAGAAGGGACAGGAUGUGCCGAAGAUGCCCAGAGGAAAGGCCGUGAAGAAGGAGCAGGAGGAAACUCUGGGCAUGGAUCAGUCAAUGCAACUUCUCAGUGGGAAUGGGGUCCCAAGGAGAUGUGUGAGAUGUCCUUCUCCAGAAAAGAUGCUAGAGAUCCGA
rnacentral:lncRNA from 1 species